rnacentral:sRNA from 1 species
UAUCAUUAUAAGCAAAUGGAGAAAGACCAACAUAUAUAUAAACUUGAUCGUAUAUGUUAAGUUAUAACCACCAGCACUUUGCACUAAGAAUGCAUUGAUGAUAUUAAUAAGUAAAAUGAAGCAAGUUUAGUUUAUUACCCGUAAUUCUACUAUGCGCAAACAUAUGGUCCAAUGCGUAGAACUCCAUACAUAUUCCUUCAUUUUGAAUGGUUCUGAAGAAAAGAAUAAGAUCCAGAUUUCCAGAAAAAUCAUAUUGACGACGAGUAGGUUCAUGUGCAUUCCAAAAAACAUAAGUCUCGAUUGCAUCAAGACCUCUUUCUUUGCCCUUCUUUAUAAGAUUCGGCCACAUCUAAAUUUGACAAAGUAACAACAAAAAAUGUAGUUAAUUAACAAUCCUAUUAUGCUAAACAUAUAUAAUAGAUUAACUACUAACGUAGAUAUAAGCUGAUAUGUAAGUUACCUCAUCGGUACUACAAAAGUAAUGGAUAGAACCAGAGAGAAGAACUCGACGAUGACCAUAAAUAGUGAUGGCACAACCAUCGUGAGAGACGAUUGUGGCAUAUGCACAACUACUUACUACGAGACAACACAAAAGUGUACCUAACAGACGUUUCUCCGACAAGAAAAAAUCAGCUCGUUAUCCCUAUUAUUGUGGGUUUAAUUAUUUGUUAUCUUUUUACUUAGAAAUUUUUUUAUCUGACUUGGUAAACACCGAAAAACAAAAAAAAAUGUUUAGUUGUAGUUUCAGAUAAGUUUUGUUUUUCUUAUUGAGCUUUUAAUAGAUU